GAUGAACGCUGGCGGCGUGCCUAAUACAUGCAAGUCGAGCGAACAGAUAAGGAGCUUGCUCCUUUGACGUUAGCGGCGGACGGGUGAGUAACACGUGGGUAACCUACCUAUAAGACUGGAAUAACUCCGGGAAACCGGGGCUAAUGCCGGAUAACAUUUAGAACCGCAUGGUUCUAAAGUGAAAGAUGGUUUUGCUAUCACUUAUAGAUGGACACGCGCCGUAUUAGCUAGUUGGUAAGGUAAUGGCUUACCAAGGCAACGAUACGUAGCCGACCUGAGAGGGUGAUCGGCCACACUGGAACUGAGACACGGUCCAGACUCCUACGGGAGGCAGCAGUAGGGGAUCUUCCGCAAUGGGCGAAAGCCUGACGGAGCAACGCCGCGUGAGUGAUGAAGGGUUUCGGCUCGUAAAACUCUGUUAUUAGGGAAGAACAAACGUGUAAGUAACUGUGCACGUCUUGACGGUACCUAAUCAGAAAGCCACGGCUAACUACAUGCCAGCCGCCGCCGUAA
rnacentral:rRNA from 1 species